rnacentral:rRNA from 1 species
UACGUAGGGCGCAAGCGUUGUCCGGAAUUAUUGGGCGUAAAGAGCUCGUAGGCGGCCUGUCGCGUCUGCUGUGAAAUCCCGGGGCUCAACCCCGGGCCUGCAGUGGAUACGGGCUGGCUGGAGGCAGGCAGGGGGAGAACGGAAUUCCUGGUGUAGCGGUGAAAUGCGCAGAUAUCAGGAGGAACACCGGUGGCGAAGGCGGUUCUCUGGGCCGUGUUCUGACGCUGAGGAGCGAAAGCGUGGGGAGCGAACAGG